UACGAAGGGGGCUAGCGUUGCUCGGAAUUACUGGGCGUGAAGGGCGCGUAGGCGGUCAGAUAAGUCAGCUGUGAAAACCUCGGGCUUAACCCGAGGCCUGCAGUUGAAACUGUUUGGCUGGAGUGUGGGAGAGGAGAGUGGAAUUCCCGGUGUAGAGGUGAAAUUCGUAGAUAUUAGGAAGAACACCAGUGGCGAAGGCGGCUCACUGGCCCGGUACUGACGCUGAGGCGCGAAAGCGUGGGGAGCAAACAGG
rnacentral:rRNA from 1 species